CGCGCAUCGGGCGUCGAGAGUCGAAACAGAUGUCAUCAUUCAUAACCUGCCAAGUGUGAAAAGUUUUUACACUAUUGCAUUAUUAAUUAUAUUUAUAUCAGCAAAAUGUUUUCAAUUUAGACUUUUUAUGUAGGGUUUAAUAACAAAUUGUAACCAGUGUUGUAAAGUAUUGAUCGAUCUUGAUUACAAGGCUUUUUAUGUAGAGCUUGUGGAAACGAAGGGAGUCCACAGGAUUGGAGGUUAACAAAUUGCUGCCAGUAUUGUAAAAUAUAGAUCAAUCUUGAUUACAAGAGCUUAUACAAACAAAGGGGAUACAACAUCCACAGGCUUGGAGGUUGUCUGGAGAAAGUUGUAGAUGAUGAAGCAUAUCCUUUCGCAUUUCAAUUUAGUGCUUAACUAAUAAUGGAUCUCUUCGUUCAUUUUCUCACUUCAUGUUUAACAUUAAAAUUUUUUUCAACGAGAAAACAGAUUUGCUUAUAUUUAUGUUAAUUCAUAAAUUGAACGAAUAAAUGUUUAUUAUUAAUAAAUUAUAUCAUAUGAAAUAUACAUAUAUAUUCGCUUUUGUACCCCGUUUCUUUUUCUUUUUUUCUAUUCAAUUAAAAAAAUAAUAAUUUUGACUAUUUAUGUAGAGCUUAUAGAAAUUGUGUGGUACAUCUUGUACUGCCUAAGAUAUUGAAGACAUUUGUGAUGUUUUGGCAUUUUCCUCAAAAUGUUUUAAUAACAAAGCUAUAGCUUGUUACACCUACUUAAUUCAUCGCAUAGUCUCUUUAUAAACAUUUUUCCAAUGUACUUGUCUGAAAAGUGGUUUUAAAGUGGGCGGUACCCUUAAGAAAAUAAAAACGUUGAUAUUAAUUAUGAU